CGGACGAACCUCUGGUGUGCCAGUUGUUCUGCCAAGGGCAUGGCUGGUUGGCUACGUUCGGGAGGGAUAACCGCUGAAAGCAUCUAAGCGGGAAGCCUGCUUCGAGAUGAGGACUCCCACCUCCUGGAGAGGGUAAGGCUCCCAGUAGACGACUGGGUUGAUAGGCCGGAUAUGGAAGCACGGUAACGUGUGGAGUUGACCGGUACUAAUAGGCCGAGGGCUUGUCCUCAGUUG
rnacentral:rRNA from 1 species